GAUGAACGCUGGCGGCGUGCUUAACACAUGCAAGUCGAACGGGAUCGGCUGGAGCUUGCUCCGGCCGUGAGAGUGGCGAACGGGUGAGUAAUGCGUGACCGACCUGCCCCAUACACCGGAAUAGCUCCUGGAAACGGGUGGUAAUGCCGGAUGCUCCAGUUGACCGCAUGGUCCUCUGGGAAAGCUUUUGCGGUAUGGGAUGGGGUCGCGUCCUAUCAGCUUGAUGGCGGGGUAACGGCCCACCAUGGCUUCGACGGGUAGCCGGCCUGAGAGGGCGACCGGCCACAUUGGGACUGAGAUACGGCCCAGACUCCUACGGGAGGCAGCAGUGGGGAAUAUUGCACAAUGGGCGCAAGCCUGAUGCAGCGACGCCGCGUGCGGGAUGACGGCCUUCGGGUUGUAAACCGCUUUUGACUGGGAGCAAGCCCUUCGGGGUGAGUGUACCUUUCGAAUAAGCACCGGC
rnacentral:rRNA from 1 species